CUUGUUUAUUAGGUUUUUAGUUUGUGAUGUUUCAUGUGAUGAUCAUUUUCAUGUUCAUCGUCCUUGAAUUGACAUGAGGAUAUCUAUGGAAAAGUAACUAAUCUGAAAGUAAGCCAACAUAUCGUUUGUCAUUUGUGUGCUAAAGAAAAGAUUUUCUUUUCGCAUCAUGAGGAAGUAUUACAUCAAUUAAAAAAUGUUAGGAAGUUGAUUACUUGUCAUGGAAAAGUAUACCAAUGGAAAUUAUUUGUUAAAGAAGUAUAAUUCUAACGGUAAAUUUUAUUAUAAUUAGUAAGCUGUCUAUUUUUUAUACGUAGAUGUUUCAGGUUUUAAGAAUAAAUUGGUUGAACCCAAAAUCUGGAGGAAGUACCUAUAUCCAUACACAGAAUAUGCCCAUUAAAAAUACUAGUCCAAAUUUGCUUUAAUGGAACGAUUAGGGCCCGAUAUAUUUGAAACUCAUGUUGGACAUAGUAUUGAGUUGGGUAGAAUAUUAUUCUACGUUAAGUGAGGGUAUCAGAUACCUAUUAUUGUACUGUAUUUUAAUAUAUACAUUAGAAUUGUUGGUUUUUU